rnacentral:rRNA from 1 species
CGAACGCUGGCGGCGUGCCUAAUACAUGCAAGUAGAACGCUGAAGAGAGGAGCUUGCUCUUCUUGGAUGAGUUGCGAACGGGUGAGUAACGCGUAGGUAACCUGCCUUGUAGCGGGGGAUAACUAUUGGAAACGAUAGCUAAUACCGCAUAACAAUGGAUGACACAUGUCAUUUAUUUGAAAGGGGCAAUUGCUCCACUACAAGAUGGACCUGCGUUGUAUUAGCUAGUAGGUGAGGUAACGGCUCACCUAGGCGACGAUACAUAGCCGACCUGAGAGGGUGAUCGGCCACACUGGGACUGAGACACGGCCCAGACUCCUACGGGAGGUAGCAGUAGGGAAUCUUCGGCAAUGGGGGCAACCCUGACCGAGCAACGCCGCGUGAGUGAAGAAGGUUUUCGGAUCGUAAAGCUCUGUUGUAAGUCAAGAACGAGUGUGAGAGUGGAAAGUUCACACUGUGACGGUAGCUUACCAGAAAGGGACGGCUAACUACGUG